rnacentral:rRNA from 1 species
AACCGCGCAUGGCUCAUUAAAUCACACCUAAUGUACCUGGAAGUUCCAUUACUUGGAUAACUGCGGUAAUUCUGGAGCUAAUACAUGCUAAAGAGCCCUGACUCACGGAGGGGCGCAUUUAUUAGAUCAAAACCAAACGCUUCGGCGUUCAUUGGUGAAUCUGAAUAACUUUUGCUGAUCGUAUGGCUCAACGCCGACGACGUUCCAGUCCAAGGUGUGCCCUAUCAACUUUCGACUGUGAUAUAGACGCUCACAGUGGUUUUGACGGGUAACGGGGAAUUAGGGUUCGAUUCCGGAGAGGGAGCCUGAGAAACGGCUACCACUUCUAAGGAAGGCAGCAGGCACGCAAAUUACCCAAUGGUCGAAGACCGAGGUAGUGACGAAAAAUAACGAUACCGGUCUCUUCCGAGGCCCGGUAAUCGGAAUGAGUACACUUUAAAUCCUUUAACGAGGAACAAUU